AACGACUCUCGACAACGGAUAUCUCGGCUCUCGCAUCGAUGAAGAACGUAGCGAAAUGCGAUACUUGGUGUGAAUUGCAGAAUCCCGUGAACCAUCGAGUCUUUGAACGCAAGUUGCGCCCGAAGCCACUAGGCUGAGGGCACGUCUGCCUGGGUGUCAUGC
rnacentral:rRNA from 1 species